AAANGGUCGGGAUAGCUCAG
rnacentral:tRNA from 1 species